GGCCAAAACUGGUGUCGAUCGACA
rnacentral:siRNA from 1 species